CCCCCCCCCCCCCCCCCCCCCCCCCCCCCCCCCCCCCCCCCCCCCCCCCCCCCCCCCCCCCCCCAUGUGGGGUGCAGGGAUGUGGGGUGAGUUACAGCCGAGCUGUGGGGUGUGGGGAGGGAAUGUGGGGUGCAGGGAUGUGGGGUGAGUUACAGCCGAGCUGUGCGGUGUGGGGGGCAGAGAGGAGUGCGGGGAUGUGGGGUGAGUUACAGCCGAGCUGUGGGGUGCAGGAAGGGGAUAUGGGGAGGGAAGGAGUGUGGGGAUUUUGGGAUGAGUUACAGCCGAGUUGUGGGGUGUAACCCUCACAGACCCAAGGGGCCGCAUUCCCCACCUCCCCGGAGGUCUCCGCCUCCCCUCAAGGUGUUGCAAUACCUUUACACAACCCCAAAGGUGUUCCAAUACCUGCACCCCCAAAAGAUGUUAAAAUUCCUGUACACCCCCGAGACAUGUUAAAAUACCUGUACACACGACCCCAAAGGUGUUACAAGUCCUGUACACACAUCCCCAAAGGUGUUACAAUACCUGUACACCCCCAAAAGAUGUUAAAAUAUCUCUACACAACCCUAAAAGUUCUGCAAUACCUGUACACCCCUAAAAGUUGUUAAAAUAUCUGUACACACAACCCCAAAGGUGUUACAAUAUCUGUGCACACAUCCCCAAAGGUGCUAAAAUACCUGUACACCCCCAAAAGAUGAUAAAAUUCCUGUACAAACAUUCCCAAAGGUGUUGCAAUACUUGUACAGAACCCUAAAAGUUCUACAUGUACACCCCCAAAAUAUGUUAAAAUACCUGCAUGCAACCCCCAAAGGUUUUACAAUACCUGUAGUCCCCCCACAGUGUUACAGUUCCUCAGGAUGGAUAGAUUUGUCCCCAGCCCAGCCCCAGUGCCUCAGGUGUUGUUACCAAAGUAGUUUUGCUCCCUCCUGGCGCUUCCCACGUUCCAAGCCCACCUCUAAACCACAUCCACAAAGUGUCCCAGGGAGUCUUGCUGCAGUCAGAUAUCCUUGGCAAAGCUUUGAUGGAGCCCAAGGUGAAGCCGUGGUGGGCACAGAGCAGCUCCAUGACAGGGUCUGCAUUGCUGCUUGGUUUCUAAAGAUGGAACAACUGCUUUGGAAACCCCAACAAGGAGAGGGUUGUCUAGAUAAUACCCCUGGAAUACCAGGAAAAGUUCUGUUUGCUGUCCUGUCACAUCCUUACCCCUACCUGAGCACUGAUGUGAAGCACCAAUCUGGGUUUGGUCCCCAUCCUGAAGGAAUGGUGCUCCUUCAGCUCAUGUACCAAAGAGAGCAGGAUGGACUGGAGGGACAUGGAGCUGUUGGAGUGAGUCCAGAGGAGGCCCCCAAGGUGAUCAGAGGGAUGGAGCAGCUCUGCUCUGAGGAAAGGCUGGGAAAGUUGGGAUUGUUCAGCCUGGAGAAGAGGGGCUUCAGAGUGAGCUAA
ensembl:lncRNA